rnacentral:rRNA from 1 species
UGCGCCUUGCCAGCCCGCUCAGAAACUUAAAGGAAUUGACGGGGCCCGCACAAGCGGUGGAGCAUGUGGUUUAAUUCGAUGAUACGCGAGGAACCUUACCUGGGCUCAAAUGUAUGUUGACGUAUUCUGAAAGGGAUACUUCUUCGGACAAUAUACAAGGUGCUGCAUGGUUGUCGUCAGCUCGUGCCGUGAGGUGUCGGGUUAAGUCCCAUAACGAGCGCAACCCCUAUCAUUAGUUGCCAUCAGGUCAAGCUGGGGACUCUAAUGAAACUGCCUACGCAAGUAGUGAGGAAGGUGGGGAUGACGUCAAAUCAGCACGGCCCUUACGUCCAGGGCUACACACGUGUUACAAUGGCCAGUACAGAGGGCAGCCACCCCGCGAGGGGGCGCUAAUCCUAAAAGCUGGUCCCAGUUCGGAUCGGAGUCUGCAACCCGACUCCGUGAAGCUGGAUUCGCUAGUAAUCGCGCAUCAGCCACGGCGCGGUGAAUACGUUCCCGGGCCUU